GUUGGGCAUGAUGGCACACAUCUGUAGUCCUAGCUACUUGGGAGGCUAAGGCAGGAGGAUUGCUUGAGCCUAGGACUUUGAGGCCAGCCUGGGCAACAUAGUGAGACCCCAUU
rnacentral:sRNA from 1 species